UUAUUAUGUAUUAACAGUUAACAAGACUUUCCUGUACUCUGGACUCCAGACCUGGACACAGCACUCCUGAUUUUGUCUCAGACACUGAAUGCAGUAUCUCUCAAUCUGUAAGGAUGUUCUAGGGUGUUUCAAUAAGAAGUAGAUACAUGUAUGUGGGCAAGUGAAUGGAGCACUUUGUCUCCUUUGAUGGGCUUUUGAUGGGGAACAGGUCUGCUCUGAAAGUACUGGUUUCCUGCGCUGACUACAAUGAAAGACUAAAAUGACCAGCUCAGAUGAAGACACCUAUUAACAACAGUGAGUGGAGCAAGUCAAGUAGGUUGUGGUGAACAGGAGAGGUGCCUGAAGACUGGAAGAAAGCCAGCAUGACUCUAGUCUUCAAGAAUGCCAAGAAGGAUGACCCAGGAAACUACAGGCCAGUCAGCUUCACCUCCAUCUCUGGAAAGAUUUUUUUAAACUUGAAAUUGAACCAAGACAUCAAUCAAUUCAAGACCCACAAAGUGCACCUUCUUUAAAAGAAACAG